CCAUUACCAAUGUCCCAAGAACCUUCCAUAGCACAUGAGCCGUCGUCUUCUUUCCACUGCUUCCUCUGGCCACUGUCCUCUCCUCCGACGGCAAGAACAUCGCUGGGCGUAUGCUCCGCUGCUGCCUUGCCCUUAUCUCACUCAGUUCCAUCUCCUUUGGAAGCCUCAUGCUACCAAACAGAAACAAGAACCAGCGCGAUUUCUUCGGCCACGAUUCCAUUAUCAUCGCUCUCUCCGCCGGUAUAAAUUUCCCGCAGAAAAUUAUGUCACCGGAUCCUGAAUAAGUCGAAUCAGAAACAGAGAAAUUAUCGCUGAAAAACUCGAAGAAUGUAUCUUCGUUGUCAAACGAAGCGCUCCGAUCCUGCUUGUCGCAAUUUGAUUCAUCGCUGAAAAUUGGAAGGUCGCAUAAAGAGAGCGUUUCUUCGGCUUCUUCAUCAUGCGGAUAUGGAUGAUCUUCAUUGAUGGAAGCAUCUUCUCCUCGGCUCAGCCACAAAUUGGUAGAGAGACGAAACAGAAAGUGUGGGUAGUUCAUUGGUCGUGCGGACUUUCUAGAAGCGCAGACGGAGAAAGGGAUUUCAAAUUCAGGCGGAUUGCAGACC